rnacentral:lncRNA from 1 species
UUUUUUUUUGUCUUCUUAGGCGAUAGGCAAAAGUUCAUUCACGGACUUGACUUCGGCUCACGCAGAAGCUAGUAUCGCCGAUGACGAGAUCUGGUAGGGCGGCCGUCGAAGCGCGCGAGCUAGAGCUCCGACCCCUUGCUAGUCUCCGACGUGCUUCUGCCCUGGUUCGUGUUGCUUGUCCAUCCGGCCCGGGGAGGACGGCAGAAAAAACCGGUCAGGUCGAGCUCUGAGUCUGAGAGCUUGUCGAUGGUCGAUGCGGCGAGUCCUUGCCCCCUCACGGCGGCGCCGCGGCCACGCUUGGCGCCUUGCUCCCUUCCGCGACCGCCAUAUACACGAAUAACGACGUGAUUUGAGCGUGGCCGGCCAUGUCUAUCUGCUCAGUUCAAGAGCAUGUGAACAAAAGCUUUUUCUCUUUUUAAUCUGAAACAAAAAUUUGUAACUAGUCUUUCUACCUAGUGCUGAUUCCAAAUGAUGCGUUUCUUUUUCCUACGCUUUUCUAAAAUCAUGAUCUACUAAAUGACAACAUUUGUUUGGAUUCAAUUGUUGGAUUCAAUUUUCGAAACCAAUUUUGUAUUUUAAGUAGUUUAAAUAAUUUUUUGCAUCCUUAUCAAAAGCAAUUGCAAAUUGAACACUGAGUACCUCCAAUAAGAUUUCAAGAACAUUAUAAAAUUUAUAUUUAUGCUCAUAUGUUUCACUCUAGGGCACAUCCAGAGAUGGAUGAAAAAAAUUCAUUUGUUUGCUAGGAUGAUUCGAAACUUUGAUAGGAAACCCUACAAUUUUGAAUGACAUGCUUGUUGUUGUAUAAUCUUUCAAUAAAAAAUUAACUAAUUUGAAAAGGAGGUACCAUACACUAUUUACAAAUAGUACAUCUCCCACAUAUUUGUAUGAAACUAUGUGAAAGAUGUAUCCAUUUCUAAACAAUGUGUAGUCUUACUUUGUUAAAAUGGAUUACUUUUUUUAUGGCAAGCUUAUACAAUCAUAUUAUGUUCUCACACCGGUUCUUAGGAUUUUUAGACCGCUUUAUAUAUUAUUGUUUUUUUUCCAUCGAAGUCGCUAAAAUAGUAGUUUGAAUAAUAUCUAGUAAAACACUUAAUUUUCUAUCGAUUUUCAGCAUGUGAGCUUAAAUUAAACUUGCAUUCUUAAAUAUAUUUUUUUUCUAAUUUGUAGAUAUUGUUCGAUAGGACAUAUAGUUCAAGUUGGGGUUAUUUUCUAAAAGCAUGUAGAAAUUCAUUUAAACUGUAGAAAGUAGUAAAUCAUUUUUAAAAAUUUUGAAACUUCUAUGUAGGGAUAUAUAUAUAGUCUAUUUUAUUUUAAAAUAUUUUAGGCACAUGACAUAAUGGAAUUGGAAUGCUUACUCCAUAAGGGUGUCUAAUCAGUCGAAAAUAAAAAAAACUAAAUAGUAAUGGGCUACAAUUAAAACUCAGCCUAUUUAAGACAUAGCGAUAUGAGCUUGGGCCGCACAUUCGCGGCAGGCCUUGCGAACCCGCCAGCCUGCUAAAGUUCGGCGGGAUUUGGACAGUUCAAUCCAACUGAUCGACGACCAUGAUUAUAGCAGCACUGUCGAGGGUAUCGGUAAGGGGUACCCUCAGCGAUGCGCAUUAUGAGAUUGCCCGUACGAAGGUCGAGACCCUUAAUUCGACGCUCUAAUCUUACGUAUGCGCCGCCAUCGACGGUCGCGGCCUCGAAGACGGAAAUAGCGUCGAGCGAAUCGGUCAGGGCUCGAGCGACGACUGCCGUCGAAAACGGAAGCGGGCUCGAGCGAACCGAGAGGCGUCGGGCGCAAGGACGCUGUCCGCCGCCCGACGCGCGCACGCGGGCCGGAGCAUUAAAUGCACCUGACGCUUCCCCACCUAACACACAGGUCACGGAAGGCGUGAUAGGGAGCAAGCUUCUGUCCCAUCGUUCUUUUUGCAGCCUUCCCACCGAACGACCCAGGGCGUGUCAGGACGCAGGAAACAAGGAUGGAACGUCUAAUCGGGACCCCCUCGAGACACCCAAGGUCAGCGCUCCAGAUAUCAGCAUAUUACGCGGCGCCCGACCCUCGACCGAACAAGGUCCCUUCCCAGGGACAAGUUGGGCGUCGACUGACAACACCACAGCUACCCCGCCGGAUCCGCCACCAUACCAUACGAACAUGCGACCUCAGAACUAGCACAAGGCGGCUGGCAGGGCAGAACGCAGGAGCACGCGUAAUCAUCACCGGGCUAUCAAGAUGGGACGGCUCGAGGCCAUGCCGUACGGAAGCCUCGAGUAGGUCAGCGCUCCAUGUGGCUAUCGAUCCCUACUCUAACAUCUACGCAUGUACCCUGUGUCUCUCCUUGGAGCUAUAAAAGGAGAGACUCAUGAAUAGAAGAAGGGGACAUCACAACACAAGAACACACACACGUAGUAGAGCUACACACUUCGUACCACGCUUGUAUUCGCCCCUGUACAAGCACUUAGGUGCAAGAUAAUACAAACUCUCUCCCCCCGCUGGACGUAGGGCCUUCUCUUGCCCGAACCAGGAUAAAUCUCUGUGUCUUCUUGCAUCACCAUCCGGAAAGGGGAGCACGCAUACAAAUUUACUCGUUGGUGUGACCCCCCGGGGGAAAAACACCGACAGUUGGCGCGCCAGGUAGGGGUCCUGCGUGUUUUUCACCGAUUUCCCACCACUUUCUGGAUGGCUACUCUUGCCUCGCCGCUUCCGCGCUCCACGGUGAUUUGGUUUGGGAGUCUCUGAAACGACCUAGAUUCUUCCACAAAGGGAAAAAUCCACAGAUUCGAAUUAUAAUGUGAUAAUUCAAAAAUUGAACCAUCGCAUUAUCAUAUAUCAGCUGUUAUCGUAGUCAUACAUCGUGAGAAACAAGAUUACAACACAUUUACUUUACAACUCUUGGUCAACAAGCCUAUUACAUCGUUUUUCUAGCGAGAACACACGCGAGUCUUUAUCAGAGUCGAUGUAGCGCGACAGCGGUAAAGGCUCCUCCUUCACGGACAAUCAUCAGAGUCGGCGUAGUUUAUCAGCGGGCGCAGCCUUCAUCUCUGAACCAAACUUGAGCGCAGGAACGAGACCACCUAAUCCUUCUAUUCUCCGUAGUUAUCGUCAUAGAUCACGUUCAAAACCUGCUAAACAAUUUUCAGUACGAUUUGUACUGGCCACUGGCUCCCACCCUAUGCUUUUGCGUAGCUUUGUGGUAGGUGGAAAUGCAAAGGGUAUAUCAAGAGGCCUAUGUAUAGCUGUAGUUUUUCCUAUGCAAGUUCAUCAAUAUUUUAUAAUAAUAAUUCAUCAAGUUUUAUUCCAUCUCAUCCACACAUCCAUCCAUCCAUCCCAUCACACACAUCUCACCACACUCUCACUCUCUAGGCGGCAAGUACGACUCCCGCUCGUGCCUUGCCUCAACGGCCAACGCCGGAUCCAACACAAACCCAGGGGAAGGUAGAAAGGACUCCUCUCACUAGUCAAGCGAAGCGGAUCAUAGGAAAGGUCCAUAGCCGAGAAGACGGCAUAUGUAUCGAUCGAUCAACCAAACUCUGCAGAGGUUUACACUAACCACAAGAUCACCAUCAUCGACGAACCGGCUCGUCUAGGCUGAUACCGGGCUGCCUUCCAACUAAAUACGAUGCCACCCUACCACUCAGGACUGGGGCCAUACCGGAGUACCACCGGCAUGCUGAGACUGUGAGGCGUAGUACCGGGCCCCCAAGGGUCACUACGCUGUCUUAGGAGGGUGUGGGUCCUCAUGCCCGUACCUCCCUACACUAUCCGCUAUCAACCUAGUAGUAGUGGCACCGCACUAGCUGGUCGUACAUCCGUCCCGCACCAUAAUAAGGCGAGUGGCGUGUAAGGCUUCCUACGAACCGGUUCUCAGAACAUCUCAGUCCUUAGGGUAACCGAACAGGACAUCUUCACGAGGGGCCAGCCGAUGCCCCUCUCGACGGGACACCCGGCUACCCCGUGCUAUACAGCACCUCCCAUCCCGGUGCUUCGUCCCACGAAGACACUCCACUCCGGGACCUCUCCCUGUCACAUGUACCCGCCACAGGUAUCUCUCAUGGAGAACGCCCAGGUAGCGUUCCCCGGCAAGACUUGUCCCAAGACUCGUCGUAAAUCCUGCUCGGUCGACUCGACCCUCACCACACACCCAAGACACACGCCAAGAUCUCCCCAUAUCCAUUAUCCAUUUCUUAACCAGUUAUCGACACACGUGCCUUAUCCACUCACAUCCAAUCCUCCACAAUGCAUCACAUCACAGAUAUAAUGCGUAGUAGAAGCAGUAGCAAGUAGUAUGCAAGCAUCUAACCUAACAGCGGGUGUGCGAGGGUUAUAGGUUGCAACAAGGCAAUGGCUCACAAGCAUUUCUACCAUGCAACCUAUCAUAGUUCAUUUGCAUAAAAGUAAAGCACUAGCAUCUAUAAUAUUGCAUGUCUAAUAGGAUUCUAUGAGGUUGGGUGGGACGUGGCACCUGUCGAGUGACAUUUCCAGGAUCCUCAGUUCACUUGUAGUUGUACUCAUCCAAGGUCUUUCUCCUAUCUGCAUGUCCUUCCUUCGACUGGUUCCGAUUCGAUCAUCGCUAACCGAAGCAACUACCUCGUAAACGACAAUCAAGGCGAAACAAUCAAACCACUAGACCUAGAAAGAUCGCGAAAAGAGACGACACAACACUGAGGAACAACUACUCUAAAAGCGCAACGAAAGGAAAACGGCUUAGCCCUCUCGGCGGAUGUCCGAUCUCUGGGCUAAAAGAAACGGGAAUGGUUGUUCACUAAGUACAAGCUGGAGUCUUAGCCUAGCCGGUACUUCCCGGGUUAACUGAGUCAACCUGUACGGCUUUAUUAAAUGGCUUGGACUCUAACUCAUUCUAAGCAAACACCACAACUUACAGUCUUUCGAUCCAAGUGUCAUAGAGAUCGACAGGAAUCGAAAAGGCUAUGAGCACGGGAAGUUCCGGUCUCUCUCAAUCCAUACGCCAUUGUAGUUGGCGAGAGCCAAGAGAGGGUGGAACAAGGAGAGAAGAAAAGGGAAAGUGGUCUACUCCUUCCAAUCCACUCGCCAUGGUAAGAGACGGGGAGUCUGAAAGAGUGACACACAAGAUCACGAGUGCUCAAACUACUUGUAGGGUACCACAACCUAGGUACACUGAAUGCACUAAGACAUCCCUAGGGUUCUUAGCAGUGCGGUUGUCACCACGAGAACCAAAGAAAUGCUACGGUCGAUUAGGUACAAGCAUACAAGAGUUUAAGCACGAAGAACCCAAAAGGCAAGAAAGACACGGGUUUCACUCUCCAUUGAUCCGCUCGCCAUAACAACGACGGGAAUCGCGGGAUUGGAAACAAAACAUCAAACAAGUAAAAGGGGCUCAAUCUACAUCUUACUGGAUCGACGGGGAUUGAGACCAAGAGAGAAGAACGAAAUCACAUUCUUCCAACCAACACGCCAUAGAACGAAAAACGGUUGGAUAAAAGAGAUACGACCCCACGAUCUAUUCCAACUUAUAGCACUUCACGACCUAGCUGCUUUUGAAUCUGCACAAGGUCAUUCCUAUAGUUCCAGGCGAUGCGGUUGUCAUCGCGGGAACUAGGGGAAAUGCCCGGGUCUAGGUGGCAUAAGCAUACGAUACAGAUAAGAUAAUCAUGCGAGAAACAAGGUAAAGCCCGAUGACCAUGGCGAGGUGGACUCGCGGCCAUGAUCUUCACCUAACGAGUUGGCUUUCAUAAGUCCCACGAUUGUCGUCCGCUAGUCUCCCACUAAACUAGGUCACGAGUGGCUUGCCAGGUGCGGGUAGGAGGCGCACCGACAGCAAGUCCAUGGUGACCACGCCUGUGGGUCAAAUAGGGUCGCUAACGAUCAUGGCACUAGAGAGUCGAUUAAACACGAGAAAACGAGUUACGCUCGGCAUCAAGAUCACGGCGGGACAAACCCACGAUCGAGAUGAUCAAACGCACUACCAUUUUCCCGACCGGCUCGAAGGCUCGGUCCUCAGGCAAAUAACAAAAAGAAAGAACAUCGACAACACGAGAGUAGGGACAUGCUUGGCACUACGACCAUGGCGAGACGAACUCGCGAUCGCAACAUUCAAACACGUCACUCUCUCAACCGGCUCGACGACACGGUCCACAACGACAAGAACAAACACACAAAGAAUCGCGACUCAACCAAAGACAACACAAGGGAGAUGACAACUCGGAGUAGCACAAACAUCCAUAGCACGAGUUAGAGAGAUUCAUAGAUAGAUAAAUAGACCGGCACGAAGGCACGGCACAGGCAGAGAUAUAAUAGAGACAGAUCAUGUAUUAAACGAGAUCGGAGAUGUAUGACAUGUAUAGACGACUAUGAUCAAGAAUCAUCAACAUACAAGGGUAUGAGAAAAGAACAAGGGUUUCGUCGACGUCGCGAAGGGCGUCGACUAAGUGCAAAAAGGUCGACCUUGACGAACGCGAGGAAGGUGGCGGAGACCUGCUGCUGCCACUCUGAUCCGGCUAUGAUCUGCCGCUGACCAGCUGUGGCUUGCUGCAGCUGGUUGGAAGCGGUUGCGGCUUGCUGCAGCGAGUCCAGGGGUUAGCCGAGGGCAGCAGUGUGGUCCAGCCAUGCGGCAAUGGUGCCCCAAGGGCACAUCCUCCCUGCAAGGUGUAGAACACGGCACGAAGGCCGAUCUCAGCAUGGUGAACGCAGGAAGGGGAAAACUUUGGUCUUGGCGAGCUCACCGGGGUUUGGCUUGGCGAAGACAGGGACAAGAGCUUGACGCGGUGACCGUGGCGAGGACGGGGACGCGUCGGGGCCCGACGUCGCGCUCGGUGGUCGCGGCUCCUGAGCGCGGACGUGGACGCCACGGGCUUCAGGUCGGCCGUGGCCGGAGCCGGCGUCGCGCGCGGCCCUGGGCUUGGGGGCGAGGCCGGGGCUGGUGGUGAGGGCGUGGGCGACGUCACGGGGUGGCGCAGAACUGCGUCGGGGUCGGGGUCGUAGUGCUUGGCGCGGCACGGUCGUAGCGUCGUGCUCCGGCGGGGGUGCGGAGCUCCUGCUCGGCGUCGAGGUCGUGGCGAGGUCGAGGACGCGGACGCGGAGGGGCGCCGUGCUCGCGGUGCUGGCCGAAGACGGGGCUCGGGGGAGAGCUCGCGGGCGAGGAUGGGGACGCCGCGGGCUCCUGGGCAAGGUCGCAGUCGAAGCUCGGCGCGGCGGUGCUCGGCGUCGCGGGGCACCGAGGCGGCUCGGCAGUGCUGUGGCGCCCGCGCGGCCAGCCGUGGUCGAAGCUCGACGCGGCGAGGGCAGCGUCGCGGCUGGCCACGGCUCGGCGAAGGUGGCUUCUGGGCGUCAUGUCAGCCGUCGAGGCAAGGGCGCCGUCGUCUCGGGCUCUCGGUGGCGCAGUGGGUGCUCGUCGCGGACAACUCAAGCGCCUGCGUCCCGGUGCGGCCGUGGCAUCCGCGUGGCCGUCCGCGGUCGCGAGUCCGCACGACGCCGCGGUCGCGGAGGACGCCGGGGCCUCGGUGGCGUCCAGGCUUGACGUGAAGGCGUUGUCGCGGCGCCGGUCAUGGAGGACAAGGCGGAGGGCGGCGGCGCUGGGUGGAGGGAACAGAGGACUGCGGCGGCGCCACUAGGGAAGAGCUCGAGGGCGUGGCGGCGGCUGGGCUCUUUAUAGGCGUCGAGGCUAGGGCUUCAGAGUGGAGGCGUUCAUCCUCGGCGUCCGUGUCCGCAGCGGGACACGCGGCGGGAAUCCUGGGCUGGCGCGGACAGGGACAGGAGGGGCGCUGGCGCUCGUGGCCUUUCCACCGAGCGGCGGCGGUGGCGGCUCUACCUGGGAGCGGCGCGGUUCCUAGGGUUGGGGAGAAGGGGGCGCUGCCUGGGCCGAGCGGCUGGUUGGGCCAAGGGGAGGUGCGGCUGGGCCACAGAGGGAGAUGGGCCACGCGCGUGGGCUUCGCUGCUGGGCCUGGCAGGCCUCCAGCUGGGCUAAGGGGAAGGGGAGGGCGCCGGUUGGGCCAAGGAGCGCUCUGGGCCGCAGCAGGGGGCAGAGGGGAGGGGAAAGAAUUGGCCCAUGAAAGGAGAUGGAUUUUCCAUUUACGAAUUUGACGCAAGGGCUUGAGUGAAAUUUAAAAGGGGAAAAAGAGGGGCAAGGAGUGGUGGGCUGGUUGAGGGGUUGAGCCCAAGAGGAAUAAGAAUGCUCUUCCCAUUUAUAUUUCAAGGAGACAGAGAGGGAAAAGAAUAUUCCAAUUUCUAUUUGGAGAAAGGAAUUGAAGGAUUUUCCACUAUUUGCUAAAAUGAUUGAGCGGGAAAGGGAAAAGAGAUUGAGAUGAGUCACCACGAAUUUAAGAUAGAUUUAGCGGCAGAGAUUUGGUGAUGAGAUCAGCAAGAGAAAAGUUUUGGAGAAGGGAAUUUGGAAAAGAGUUCAAAAUGGAUUAAAGGAGUUUGAGACGUACUCCAAUGAAAAGAUUGAGAAAGGAUUCGCUUCGCCUUUGAGAUAGGCUCAACGGAGAUUUGGGAAUACUUUGCUAAGGAUUUGUGCACUCCAAAAGAAACUCAAAACCUUAAACAAGACCCAACUCAAGACGACUCACGAACAAAAGCACUCGCCUACAAACAAUUCUAUAUGAAUGCGACGACUUGUUAGCGGGUUAGAAUCGAGUUAGACCUAAAAACUAUAUGCUUCACACGAUUACAGGAAAAAUUUUAAAAAGCUCGUAUUUUUGGCUUUCGUAAAAAAAAUCUGGGAUGUUACAGUCUCGAGUUCAUGUCUACGGGCUCCGGCUACGACAUGAUCUUGCUCUCAGUCAAAGGACCAGGAGGAGUCCGCGUUACGCCAGCACGGUUGAAGGCCCCGAGACGCCCUCACCACCA